rnacentral:rRNA from 1 species
UACGGAGGGUCCGAGCGUUAUCCGGAAUCAUUGGGUUUAAAGGGUCCGUAGGCGGGCCAUUAAGUCAGGGGUGAAAGUCUGCGGCUCAACCGUAGAACUGCCUUUGAUACUGGUGGUCUUGAGUCGUUGUGGAGUGGCCGGAACAUGUGGUGUAGCGGUGAAAUGCAUAGAUAUCACAUAGAACACCGAUCGCGAAGGCAGGUCACUAACAACGAACUGACGCUGAUGGACGAAAGCGUGGGUAGCGAACGGGAUUAGAUACCCCGGUAGUCCACGCCGUAAACGAUGGAUACUAGCUGUCGGGACCUCGGUCUCGGCGGCCAAGCGAAAGUGAUAAGUAUCCCACCUGGGGAGUACGUUCGCAAGAAUGAAACUCAAAGGAAUUGACGGGGGCCCGCACAAGCGGUGGAGCAUGUGGUUUAAUUCGAUGAUACGCGAGGAACCUUACCAGGGCUUAAAUGUAGUAUGACAGGUUUAGAGAUAGACUUUUCUUCGGACAUAUUACAAGGUGCUGCAUGGUU